GCCACACUAUUUUGUGAAAAAUCCUGGCAAAUAAGUGAACAGUUUACUGAGACUUGAGAAAAUGCAGCAAAGAAGAAUGCUCUGGAAAUGUAAAGAUGAGAAAAACACUUGAUUCUUGAGCAGCACAAGUCCAGUAGAGGAGCAGACAUAAGAAGAAACAAAUAGGGCCUAGUGAUAUCUUUCCACUUUGAAUAAAGUCUACACGGAAGAGUGUAGAGAUGAGAGAUGGAAAGAUACUGAGUCUCAGUGACAUCCUUUGAGAUGCUGUGAGAUGCUUGGUGAAGCUGGGCCUGAAGAUAGAG